rnacentral:rRNA from 1 species
GCCAGAAGCCAUAUCACCCCUGCAGCUCACCACUGGCAGCGACACUGAAGCCCAGCAGGGUCGAGCCUGGUCAGUACCUGGAGGGGAGACUCCUGGGAAGCCGUGGUUGCUGCUGGAA